AAUCGAACUCGGAGAUAGCUGGUUCUCCCCGAAAUAGCUUUAGGGCUAGCCUCAUAUUAGAUACCCGGAGGUAAAGCACUGAAUGGCCUAGCGCCCGAGAGGGUAGCGAAGCCUAUCAAACUAAGAAUGCCGGAGUAUUGAUGUAUGGGAGUCAGACAGUGUGAGAUAAAUCUCAUUGUCAAAAGGGAAACAGCCCAGAUCUACAGCUAAGGUCCCAAAUUGUAUCUAAGUGGAAAACGAUGUGGAAAUACGCAGACAACCAGGAUGUUGGCUCAGAAGCAGCCACUCAUUUAAAGAGUGCGUAAUAGCUCACUGGUCGAGCGUCUCUGCGCGGAAAAUUUAACGGGGCUAAGAUACAAACCGAAGCUUAGGCUGCACGUAAGUGCGGGGUAGGGGAGCGUUGUGUAAGCGGAGAAACAGUAGCGUAAGCGGCUGUGGAGUUUACAGAAGUGAGAAUGCCGGAAUGAGUAGCGCGAAUGUGGUGAGAAUCCACAUGGCCGGAAACCUCAGGUUUUUGGAGGAAGGUUCGUCCGCUCCAAGUUAGGCGGGAGCUAAGGUCAGGCCGAAAGGCGUAGCCGAUGCACAGACGGUAGAGAUUCCGUCCCCACCGAAAGAUUUAAGCACAGGGACACUUUUUGAAGGUCGGAGCCAGGUGUUGGUUCUGGUAGUGAUCGAGGGAAAUAUAGUACCGAAGUCCGGCUGGAAGAGAGGCGAGAAAAGCUGUGUGUAUAUCUAAGGUGCCCGUACCGCAAACCGACACAGGUAGGUAGGAAGAAGAUUCUAAGGCCAACGGGAGAAGGGUUGUUAAGGAACUCGGCAAGUUGACCCCGUAACUUCGGAAUAAGGGGUGCUCACGAGAGUGAGCCGCAGAGAAUAGGCCCAGGCAACUGUUUACCAAAAACACAGGUUUGUGCUAAAUCGAAAGAUGACGUAUACGAGCUGACGCCUGCCCGGUGCUGGAAGGUUAAAAGGAGAUGUGCAAGCAUUGAAUUGAAGCCCCAGUGAACGGCGGCCGUAACUAUAACGGUCCUAAGGUAGCGAAAUUCCUUGUCAGGUAAGUUCUGACCCGCAUGAAAGGCGUAAUGAUUUGGGCACUGUCUCAACAGCCCGCCCGGCGAAAUUGUAGUACCGGUGAAGAUGCCGGUUACCCGCGACAAGACGGAAAGACCCCAUGGAGCUUUACUGUAGCCUGAUAUUGGGUUUCGGUGUUGCAUGCACAGGAUAGAUGGGACGCUAGGAAGGCAGUGCUUUGGCAUUGCUGGAGCGGACGUUGGGAUACCAUCCUUGCGACAUUGGAAUUCUAACCUGCGCCUCUGAAUCGAGGCGGGGGACAUUGUCAGGUGGGCAGUUUGACUGGGGCGGUCGCCUCCUAAAAAGUAGCGGAGGCGUUCAAAGGUUGGCUCAGCAUGGACGGAAACCAUGCCAUAGAGUGCAAACGCAUAAGCCAGCCUAACUGCGAGACUGACGGGUCGAGCAGUAACGAAAGUUGGAGUUAGUGAUCCGGUGGUAUGUGAGUGGAAAUGCCAUCGCUCAACGGAUAAAAGUUACCCUGGGGAUAACAGGCUGAUCUCCCCCAAGAGUCCACAUCGACGGGGAGGUUUGGCACCUCGAUGUCGGCUCAUCGCAUCCUGGGGCUGUAUUCGGUCCCAAGGGUUUGGCUGUUCGCCAAUUAAAGCGGUACGCGAGCUGGGUUCAGAACGUCGUGAGACAGUUCGGUCCCUAUCUGUCGUGGGCGCAGGAUAUUUGAAAGGCGCUGUCCCUAGUACGAGAGGACCGGGAUGGACGAACCUCUGGUGCACCAGUUGUCACGCCAGUGGCACAGCUGGGCAGCUAUGUUCGGAUCGGAUAAACGCUGAAAGCAUCUAAGCGUGAAGCCGGCCUUAAGAUAAGAUAUCCCACUGAGUCAAUCAGGUAAGACCCCUUGAAGACUACAAGGUUGAUAGGCACACAGUGUAAGCGGAGUGAUCCGUUCAGCUAGCGUGUACUAAUAGGUCGAGGGCUUGACCC
rnacentral:rRNA from 1 species